ensembl:lncRNA
GGUUCAUGCAUGUCAAAGAUCAGUUUGUUCUUCAAUUGCUUACCAUCAUCUAGUGGCCUCGCUGGAUCCACUGUCCACCCACCGUGUGAUGACCCUCUUCCGGGAUCCCCCCCAAGGGAAAUACACCGCUCUCAAGGCGCUGCUGCUUCGGCGCUACUCCCUCUCUGACGUAGAGUGGGCGAGAAACUCCUCUCUCUUAGGCCUGGAUGAUGGUACAGCUGUCAUGGUCCAGGACCCACCUGGCUGUCACGCUUCACAAGCUGGAAAACACACAUCUCCGUCUGGACGCUGGUUCUCUGUCAUCGGGUUGCUUCCUUAUCAUCUUAAGACUCCACCUGCCUGCCUCCCUGCCAGGUCCUUCACUCCAAGUAUAUUCUGGACCUUCUCCCUUGGACACCCCUUCCUGGCAUGACACUUUCACCUGCAACGCUGACUGUGUACCUCCACCCAAGCUGCUGCCCCUUUUCCCAUUCCCAGGAUCCGUCUAUGAAAUCUUGCACCUAGCCAUAGCACUCAGUCAGAGUUUCAUGUUCAUAGUUUGGCCUCAUAGUUCUCAGUUCAUAGCUUCCACAGUUCAUAGCAUUCAUAGUUUCCUGCUUUGUAAUUUAACUAAGCACUGUGUUCACGCCCGUUUUUCCUCCCUCUGUGUCUGCAUUUGAGUCCACACCCACAGUCUAGCCCUCUCGGCCGUAACAACAGCUCUCGAGCUCAUGGGGAGCACGCUGUCCUUGCUAGGAACGGAUGACGGCGGAUUCCUCUUCACUCAUGUCUUCCUCCGACAGUUGCCGGUGCGAGCUGGCCUCGCCAACUCCCCACUGCUAGCCAGGAAGGAUUACCGCUCACUUGCAGAAGAAGAUGGCAUUCUCCUUGCUACCAGAAGCUUUGUCAUCCAGGUGAUAGUUCGCAACUCACUGACGGCAUCUCCUGCGUCAUUACCGAUUCUCCCGGCGGCCUCCGACUCAUCGAUGGUGGCUGGGAUCGUGGCACCGCGGAAAGGGGCAGUGUUUUUACCAUCAUCAUGACAGCGCCAUGCCACCUUUGCAGUCUUAAGGCCCAGGGAAAGGAGCCUGCCAGCGUGCUGUAGCGGCCGCCACCGCUGGUGAUAAGGAACGGGUGCUCUUCACAGAGGACUCGCGCUCGGGCAGGCGUUUUCUGGUUGACUCCGGCUCCCAGAAAAACCUCGGGAAGUCUCGUGGUGUUUUGCUAACCUCCACAAUGCUAUAUUAUUUAAUCUUAAAAAAAAAAAGAUUUCCCGCAUACCACCGGAGAGCCUAAGAACCACUAGUGCUACGCAAAC